rnacentral:rRNA from 1 species
GACGAACACUGGCGGCGUGCCUAAUACAUGCAAGUAGAACGCUGAAGGAGGAGCUUGCUUCUCUGGAUGAGUUGCGAACGGGUGAGUAACGCGUAGGUAACCUGCCUGGUAGCGGGGGAUAACUAUUGGAAACGAUAGCUAAUACCGCAUAAUAGCAGUUGUUGCAUGACAACUGUUUGAAAGGUGCAAUUGCACCACUACCAGAUGGACCUGCGUUGUAUUAGCUAGUUGGUGGGGUAACGGCUCACCAAGGCGACGAUACAUAGCCGACCUGAGAGGGUGAUCGGCCACACUGGGACUGAGACACGGCCCAGACUCCUACGGGAGGCAGCAGUAGGGAAUCUUCGGCAAUGGACGGAAGUCUGACCGAGCAACGCCGCGUGAGUGAAGAAGGUUUUCGGAUCGUAAAGCUCUGUUGUAAGAGAAGAACGAGUGUGAGAGUGGAAAGUUCACACUGUGACGGUAUCUUACCAGAAAGGGACGGCUAACUACGUG